rnacentral:rRNA from 1 species
AUUGAACGCUGGCGGCAGGCCUAACACAUGCAAGUCGAACGAGAGGCGGACGGGUGAGUAAUGUCUGGGAAACUGCCUGAUGGAGGGGGAUAACUACUGGAAACGGUAGCUAAUACCGCAUACCAUCGGAUGUUCCCAGAUGGGAUUAGCUAGUAGGUGGGGUAAAGGCUCACCUAGGCGACGAUCCCUAGCUGGUCUGAGAGGAUGACCAGCCAACCUGGAACGAGAACACGGUCCAGACGACUACGGGAGGCAACAGUGGGGAAUAUUGACCAAUGGGCACAAGCCUGAUGCAGCCAUGCCGAGUGUAUUAAGAAGGCCUUCGGGUUGUAAAGUACUUUCAGCGGGGAGGCGUUACCCGCAGAAGAAGCACCGGCUAACUCCGUGCCAGCAGCCGCGGUAAUUC